rnacentral:rRNA from 1 species
GUCAACGGCCACACCACCCUGCAUGUGCCGGAUCUCAGAACCUGAGCAGGGUUGGGCCUGGGUAGCACUUGGAUGGGAGAAGUGGUGGGUGCUGAAGACA